rnacentral:rRNA from 1 species
AGUGAACGCUGGCGGUAGACCUAACACAUGCAAGUCGAACGGCAGCACAGUAAGAGCUUGCUCUUACGGGUGGCGAGUGGCGGGCGGGUGAGGAAUACAUCGGAAUCUACUUUUUCGUGGGGGAUAACGUAGGGAAACUUACGCUAAUACCGCAUACGACCUACGGGUGAAAGCAGGGGAUCUUCGGACCUUGCGCGAUUGAAUGAGCCGAUGUCGGAUUAGCUAGUUGGCGGGGUAAAGGCCCACCAAGGCGACGAUCCGUAGCUGGUCUGAGAGGAUGAUCAGCCACACUGGAACUGAGACACGGUCCAGACUCCUACGGGAGGCAGCAGUGGGGAAUAUUGGACAAUGGGCGCAAGCCUGAUCCAGCCAUACCGCGUGGGUGAAGAAGGCCUUCGGGUUGUAAAGCCCUUUUGUUGGGAAAGAAAAGCAGCAGGUUAAUACCCCGCUGUUCUGACGGUACCCAAAGAAUAAGCACCGGCUAACUUCGUG